GGUUGAUCUGGUUUCCAACAAGUGAGGCAAUUGGCUGCAGAAAUGUGCCAGGGCUUAACCGUUCAUGCUAUGAGAUGGGACAAGAAACACUAAUGAAUACCAGCUGCUCAUGGCUAUCUGACUCCAUCGCUGGGGCACUAGGAAAUUUCCCUGAAGCUGCUGAGAUACCUUUGUCUCGAGAAACCUCCCUUCUCUCCCUGUCACAGUGUCUGCUACCUACUAUCCUUCUCUGGUACAAGGAAAGUGACAUCUGAAGAAGUCAAUGGACUUCAGAACUAGCUAAGUCAACCAGAGUUCACCUGGAUCCCCUCUGCCUCUUCUGUGAUGCUACUUGGGAUCUGUUCUGUUUGGACCUAGCUGCUUGUGAUGCCAUUUGGGUGUGUACACCAUCCGUGGCACCAUAGUCUCACUCUGCUGCUCAGGCUGGAGUGCAGUGGUGUGAUCUCGGCUCACUGCAACAUCUGCCUCCCAGGUUCAAGCAAUUCUUCUGCCUAAGCCUCCCAAGUAGCUGGGACUAUAGAAAGUAUAUCUUACAGCUGUGCCAGACCUUGUGGGGGAAAAGAAGUGUGUGGACUCUUCUGCGGGUUAUCUAAGUGGGCCUGUCACCCUGCUUACAGUGCUCAAUGCUGUCUGUGUGAAAACAAGGCUGAAAACACCUGGGUCUCAAGAUAUAACCUUGAAGCAAACUGCAGAAAUUUUUUCCCCUCCUCAGUCUUAAUAUAUAGCUUUGAAACAUACCAAGAGUCUUUGUUCCCCCGCCAUUUCCCACCGUACACUCCCUUACGUCACAUACAUUUAUCUGACUGUAGGCUUGUAUCUAAAUAUGUGCUUACUUAGAAGUUCUAGGGACUAAUUUUGAGACAGAUUACAGGCAUGGAAACCCAGCUGCAAAAUUCCAGAGAUUACCUCAAAGCAGUUAGUCAACAACCCGGCCAUUGUGGGGAUGAUGCCAGCCCAUGCUCCAGGUGGACCAUGACUCAAGAUAGCCACCAGAACGAGACGCACGGACCUGUACCCAGCACCACUCCUUGCAUGCCACCCACUGCAAGUUCCCUUUGUAAGCCCCUCUCCCCAGGCUAAAGUUUGAAAUGGUUCCUUUAAGGCACAAGCCAUGGCCACUUCUCCAGUGCUAGCUCUGGAAUAAAGCUUCUUUCUUUUCACUGCAUC
rnacentral:lncRNA from 10 species